rnacentral:rRNA from 1 species
UGCGUAGGUGGCGAGGUAAGUCGGAUGUGAAAGCUCGGAGCUCAACUCCGAAAUGGCAUUGGAAACUACCUUGCUCGAGGGUUGGAGGGGGGACUGGAAUUCUCGGUGUAGCAGUGAAAUGCGUAGAUAUCGAGAGGAACACCAGUGGCGAAGGCGAGUCCCUGGACAACUCCUGACACUGAGGCACGAAAGCUAGGGGAGCAAACA